UACGUAGGGGGCAAGCGUUGUCCGGAUUUAUUGGGCGUAAAGAGCGUGUAGGCGGCCAGUUAGGUCCGUUGUGAAAACUCGAGGCUCAACCUCGAGACGCCGAUGGAAACCAACUGGCUAGAGUCCGGAAGAGGAGAGUGGAAUUCCCGGUGUAGCGGUGAAAUGCGCAGAUAUCAGGAGGAACACCGGUGGCGAAGGCGGGUCUCUGGGCCGAUACUGACGCUGAGGAGCGAAAGCGUGGGGAGCAAACAGG
rnacentral:rRNA from 1 species